rnacentral:ncRNA from 2 species
UCCGCGUCACGCGGUACGGUCUGUCCGAAUCGACGACGGCGAGACGGAAGCCGGUGGGAAUCCGGCACGGUCGCGCCACUGUAUGCGGGCCUCCCCCGAGGAGCGCCCGUGAGUCAGACCCGUGGCCGUCGUCCUGUGCACCA